CUGGGGACAGGAGAGAGGACCCCACCUUUGCCCUUCCUUGGGGACCCAUCGUCCUCUCCAGUGAAGCAGUGACCCAGCUGGCAUCUUGCCUGGCUAGGCCCCAUCCUGAGCUGCCCCAGGCAGCUCACUGGGCUUCCUCCACAGCCGGCCAACAUCCUUCUGGACGAGCAUGGCCACGUGCGGAUCUCGGACCUGGGCCUGGCCUGCGACUUCUCCAAGAAGAAGCCCCAUGCCAGCGUGUGAGUGCCCCCCACCCUCUCCCUCCCCACCCCUUGCCACUCCCGCUCAUGGCCCCCUUGCUCUCACAGGGGCACCCACGGGUACAUGGCUCCAGAGGUCCUGCAGAAGGGCGUGGCCUACGACAGCAGUGCCGACUGGUUCUCUCUGGGAUGCAUGCUCUUCAAGUUGCUGCGGGGGCACAGCCCCUUCCGGCAGCACAAGACCAAAGACAAGCAUGAGAUCGACCGCAUGACGCUGACGAUGGCCGUGGAGCUGCCCGACUCCUUCUCCCCUGAAUUACGCUCCCUGCUGGAGGGGUUGCUGCAGAGGGAUGUCAACCGGAGACUGGGCUGCCUGGGCCGAGGGUG
rnacentral:sRNA from 1 species